GCAUAUCAAUAAGCGGAGGAAAAGAAACUAACAAGGAUUCCCCCUAGUAACUCGCGAGUGAAGCGGGAAGAGCUCAAAUUUAAAAUCUGACAGUCUUCUGGCUGUCCGAGUUGUAAUCUGGAGAAGCGUUUUCUGUGUUAGACCGUGUACAAGUCUCCUGGAACGGAGCGUCAUAGAGGGUGAGAAUCCCGUCCAUGACACGGACUACUAAUACUUUGUGAUACGCUCUCGAAGAGUCGAGUUGUUUGGGAAUGCAGCUCAAAAUGGGUGGUAAAUUCCAUCUAAAGCUAAAUACAGGCGAGAGACCGAUAGCGAACAAGUACCGUGAGGGAAAGAUGAAAAGCACUUUGGAAAGAGAGUUAAACAGUACGUGAAAUUGUUGAAAGGGAAACGCUUGAAGUCAGUCGCGUUGUGCAGAACUCAGCCUUGCCUCAGCUUGGUGUACUUUCUGCACAACGGGUCAACAUCAAUUUUGGCCCAUGGAGAAAGGUGGGGGGAAUGUAGCGCUGUUUCGGCAGCGUGUUAUAGCCCUCUAUUGGAAUCCUUGGGUGGGGAUUGAGGAUUCCACACCGCCCUGGUGGCCCGGGGGUUCCCCUUCGGUACCGUGCUUAGGAUGUUGGCAGAAUGGCUUUAAGCGACCCGUCUUGAAACACGGACCAAGGAGUCUAACAUGCUUGCGAGUGUUCGGGUGGAAAACCCUUGUGCGUAAUGAAAGUGAAAGUUGGGAACCUCCGUAAGGGGGUGCACCGACGCCCGGCCCUGACGUUCUCUGACGGUGCUGCGGUAGAGCAAGUAUGCUAGGACCCGAAAGAUGGUGAACUAUGCCUGAAUAGGGCGAAGCCAGAGGAAACUCUGGUGGAGGCUCGUAGCGAUUCUGACGUGCAAAUCGAUCGUCAAAUUUGGGUAUAUGGGCGAAAGACUAAUUCGAAACCAUCUAGUAGCUGGUUUCUGCCGAAAGUU
rnacentral:rRNA from 1 species